GACCCUAUAACUCAGUUGGUUAGAGUGUGGAGCUAAUACCCUCUUGUGUUACUCCAAAGUCGCCAGUUCGAGCCUGGUUAGGGUCA
rnacentral:tRNA from 1 species